rnacentral:rRNA from 1 species
AUUGAACGCUGGCGGCAGGCCUAACACAUGCCAGUCGAGCGGAUGAAGGGAGCUUGCUCCUGGAUUCAGCGGCGGACGGGUGAGUAAUGCCUAGGAAUCUGCCUGGUAGUGGGGGAUAACGUCCGGAAACGGGCGCUAAUACCGCAUACGUCCUGAGGGAGAAAGUGGGGAAUCUUCGGACCUCACGCUAUCAGAUGAGCCUAGGUCGGAUUAGCUAGUUGGUGGGGUAAAGGCCUACCAAGGCGACGAUCCGUAACUGGUCUGAGAGGAUGAUCAGUCACACUGGAACUGAGACACGGUCCAGACUCCUACGGGAGGCAGCAGUGGGGAAUAUUGGACAAUGGGCGAAAGCCUGAUCCAGCCAUGCCGCGUGUGUGAAGAAGGUCUUCGGAUUGUAAAGCACUUUAAGUUGGGAGGAAGGGCAGUAAGUUAAUACCUUGCUGUUUUGACGUUACCAACAGAAUAAGCACCGGCUAACUUCGUG